rnacentral:rRNA from 1 species
GACAGAGGGUGCAAACGUUGUUCGGAUUUACUGGGCGUAAAGCGUGUGUAGGCGGCUUUGCAAGUCGGAUGUGAAAUCCCACGGCUCAACCGUGGAAGUGCAUCCGAAACGGCAUCGCUUGAGUCUCGGAGAGGAAGGUGGAAUGCUUGGUGUAGAGGUGAAAUUCGUAGAUAUCAAGCAGAACACCUGCGGCGAAGGCGGCCUUCUGGACAGUGACUGACGCUGAGAUGCGAAAGCGUGGGGAGCAAACAGG